rnacentral:snRNA from 1 species
UUGCUCUGGCUUAGCAGCACAUAUACUAAGAUUGAAGGAAUACAGAGAAAAUUAGCACAAGCCUUAGGGAAGAGUGACAUGCAAAAAGGUAAACUAAACUAAACUAAA